rnacentral:misc_RNA from 1 species
GAUGAAGAACGUAGCGAAAUGCGAUAAGUAAUGUGAAUUGCAGAAUUCAGUGAAUCAUCGAAUCUUUGAACGCACAUUGCGCCCGCCAGUAUUCUGGCGGGCAUGCCUGUUCGAGCGUCAUUACAACCCUCAGGCCCCCGGGCCUGGCGUUGGGGAUCGGCGGAGCCCCCCGUGGGCACACGCCGUCCCCCAAAUGCAGAGGCGGUCCCGCCGCAGCUUCCAUCGCGUAGUAGCUAACACCUCGCGACUGGAGAGCGGCGCGGCCACGCCGUAAAACACCCAACUCUUCUGAAGUUGACCUCGAAUCAGGUAGGAAUACCCGCUGAACUUAAGCAUAUCAAUAAGCGGAGGA